rnacentral:rRNA from 1 species
GAUGAACGCUGGCGGCGUGCCUAAUACAUGCAAGUCGAGCGAACGGACGAGAAGCUUGCUUCUCUGAUGUUGGCGGCGGACGGGUGAGUAACACGUGGAUAACCUACCUAUAAGACUGGGAUAACUUCGGGAAACCGUAGCUAAUACCGGAUAAUAUUUUGAACCGCAUGGUUCAAAAGUGAAAGACGGUUUUGCUGUCACUUAUAGAUGGAUCCGCGCUGCAUUAGCUAGUUGGUAAGGUAACGGCUUACCAAGGCAACGAUGCAUAGCCGACCUGAGAGGGUGAUCGGCCACACUGGAACUGAGACACGGUCCAGACUCCUACGGGAGGCAGCAGUAGGGAAUCUUCCGCAAUGGGCGAAAGCCUGACGGAGCAACGCCGCGUGAGUGAUGAAGGUCUUCGGAUCGUAAAACUCUGUUAUUAGGGAAGAACAUAUGUGUAAGUAACUGUGCACAUCUUGACGGUACCUAAUCAGAAAGCCACGGCUAACUACGUG